rnacentral:rRNA from 1 species
UACGUAGGGCGCGAGCGUUGUCCGGAAUUACUGGGCGUAAAGAGCUCGUAGGUGGUUUGUCGCGUUGUCCGUGAAAACUCACAGCUCAACUGUGGGCGUGCGGGCGAUACGGGCAGACUGGAGUACUGCAGGGGAGACUGGAAUUCCUGGUGUAGCGGUGGAAUGCGCAGAUAUCAGGAGGAACACCGGUGGCGAAGGCGGGUCUCUGGGCAGUAACUGACGCUGAGGAGCGAAAGCGUGGGGAGCGAACAGG